UACGGAGGGAGCUAGCGUUAUUCGGAAUUACUGGGCGUAAAGCGCACGUAGGCGGCUUUGUAAGUUAGAGGUGAAAGCCUGGAGCUCAACUCCAGAAUUGCCUUUAAGACUGCAUCGCUUGAAUCCAGGAGAGGUGAGUGGAAUUCCGAGUGUAGAGGUGAAAUUCGUAGAUAUUCGGAAGAACACCAGUGGCGAAGGCGGCUCACUGGACUGGUAUUGACGCUGAGGCGCGAAAGCCAGGGGAGCAAACGGG
rnacentral:rRNA from 1 species